rnacentral:rRNA from 1 species
ACAUGCAAGUCGAGCGAACAGAUAAGGAGCUUGCUCCUUUGACGUUAGCGGCGGACGGGUGAGUAACACGUGGGUAACCUACCUAUAAGACUGGAAUAACUCCGGGAAACCGGGGCUAAUGCCGGAUAACAUAUAGAACCGCAUGGUUCUAUAGUGAAAGAUGGUUUUGCUAUCACUUAUAGAUGGACCCGCGCCGUAUUAGCUAGUUGGUAAGGUAAUGGCUUACCAAGGCGACGAUACGUAGCCGACCUGAGAGGGUGAUCGGCCACACUGGAACUGAGACACGGUCCAGACUCCUACGGGAGGCAGCAGUAGGGAAUCUUCCGCAAUGGGCGAAAGCCUGACGGAGCAACGCCGCGUGAGUGAUGAAGGGUUUCGGCUCGUAAAACUCUGUUAUUAGGGAAGAACAUAUGUGUAAGUAACUGUGCACAUCUUGACGGUACCUAAUCAGAAAGCCACGGCUAACUACGUGCCAGCAGCCGCGGUAAUACGUAGGUGGCAAGCGUUAUCCGGAAUUAUUGGGCGUAAAGCGCGCGUAGGCGGUUUCUUAAGUCUGAUGUGAAAGCCCACGGCUCAACCGUGGAGGGUCAUUGGAAACUGGGAAACUUGAGUGCAGAAGAGGAAAGUGGAAUUCCAUGUGUAGCGGUGAAAUGCGCAGAGAUAUGGAGGAACACCAGUGGCGAAGGCGACUUUCUGGUCUGUAACUGACGCUGAUGUGCGAAAGCGUGGGGAUCAAACAGGAUUAGAUACCCUGGUAGUCCACGCCGUAGACGAUGAGUGCUAAGUGUUAGGGGGUUUCCGCCCCUUAGUGCUGCAGCUAACGCAUUAAGCACUCCGCCUGGGGAGUACGACCGCGAGGUUGAAACUCAGAGGAAUUGACGGGGACCCGCACAACGGUGGAACAUGUGGUUUAAUUCGAAGCAACGCGAAGAACCUUACCAAAUCUUGACGUCCUUUGACCACUCUGGAGAUAGAGCUUUCCGCUUCG